CCCCAGCACCGAUAGCAGUAAAAUCUUUUGCUGCGGGGUUCAACGCAAAGAUUGCAGCGCACAGCGGGAAGAGCU
rnacentral:sRNA from 1 species